rnacentral:rRNA from 1 species
AGUGAACGCUGGCGGUAGGCCUAACACAUGCAAGUCGAACGGCAGCACAGUAAGAGCUUGCUCUUACGGGUGGCGAGUGGCGGACGGGUGAGGAAUACAUCGGAAUCUACUUUUUCGUGGGGGAUAACGUAGGGAAACUUACGCUAAUACCGCAUACGACCUACGGGUGAAAGCAGGGGAUCUUCGGACCUUGCGCGAUUGAAUGAGCCGAUGUCGGAUUAGCUAGUUGGCGGGGUAAAGGCCCACCAAGGCGACGAUCCGUAGCUGGUCUGAGAGGAAGAAUAGCCACACGGGAUCAGAGACACGGUCCACACACCGGCACUGAGCAACAGUGGGGAAUCUUGGACAAUGGAGGCAAGGCUGAUACAGCCAUAUCGCGUGGAUGAAGAAGCCCUUCGGGUUGGAAAGCCCUGAAGGUGGGAAAGAAAUGCAGCAGUUUAGUACGGCGCUGUUCUGACGGUACCCAAAGAAUAAGCACCGGCUAACUUCGUG